rnacentral:lncRNA from 1 species
ACACGUGCACUUUGGCAUGUAUGCGCACACAUUUCUACACAUGUGUAUUUAUCUCCAUGUGCUUGUACACCUAUUCACACAUUUACUUAGUUUUUAGUCUCCUGAGUCUUGUGCAAGCUUUGGCUUUCCAACUUGUGGUCGCCCCUCCCUCUCACCUCCCCUUUGAUGCGCUCUCAAAACUCAGUUCUCCUCUUGCAGCCUCCACAGUGAGACUGGAGGCCCCAGGGCAGUGACUUCAUCUUCCUGAGCCUCCCUUUCCUUAAUCUGCAGAUGGAGGCUAAUGGUUCCCACCCCGAUUGCCUCACAGGGUGGCACCAAGCAUUCCCAUGAGAUAAAGGACGGCAGAGUGCUUUCUAAAUUGCAAAUUGUUUUGCAAACAAACAGAUGCUGCUGUUGUGUUCUUAGCCUUGGAACUGAAGAACCAAUCCACCCUGACUUAGGCUUUAUUUGGGUGGGAGAGGGCAGAAUUCUGAGGUGCUGUGAGGGGGUGGAGCUAGCUUUUCUGAGGCCUAGUUCCACCUGGGGAUGCCAGAAGGGCACCAGUAAGUCCCUGGCUUGCUAGGGUCUGGCCAUCUGGCUGCCAGUUCUGAGAGCAGGGGAGAGAAUUUGGCAAAGGUGGAUGAGGGGAGAAAGCAAGGUGGAAACCAUUGUCUCUAAGGUGUAGGCCAGAGAAGUGUCAAACUCAGUGCUUUGCUGGGCUUCAGUGGGGUCCAGACUUCAACGGCUGCCAGGAGCCCCCAUUCCUCAGAAGGAAGCCAGGUAGUACAUGCAUGCAUGUGCACGGAGGGCCUUCUAUGUGUAGCUGUUUGCAUCUGUUGGGUAUCAGCUGCAGUGGUGGAGCUGCCCAGGUGUGUCAUGCCUGACCCUCCAGCUGUGAUGGACCCCUGGGGACCCCAGGAGAUAUAGGACUGAUGUGAAGCAAGGUUCUGGCCUAUUGGUUUGUCAUAAGCUCUUUCCCUGAUUAUUUUGUUCCUCCCACAGCUGUGACUGGGCACACUGUUGCCCAUUCUGAAUAGAGCUGAGUGGGCUCUCAGGGGUGUGGCUACGAGGUUUUCCCUCCAUGGGUGGUGCUGUGGCAGUGGCUACAACAGGUACUUUGCAAGUAGGCCCUGUCCAAAGGCUCUCUUUGUUUCUAAGGCUUACAGUCUUACAGUUUUACAUUUGUGGAGACGGAGGCCCAGAGAGACAAGGACAUACUAAGGAUAGAGACCAGGGCUUCUGUUCCUGGGUCUACGCUCAUUCUCAUGUUUGGGGACACCCCCUGCCAUUUUUUUUCCCCAAGACAGAGUUUCUCUGUGUAGCCCUGUUUGUCCUGGAACUUACUCUGUAGACCAGGGUGACCUCGAACUUGAGAUCUGCCUGCCUCUGCCUUCCGAGUGCUGGGACAAUAGGUGUGUGCCACCACCGCCUGGCUUGGGGACACCUUUUAAGAAGAAUCAUGUAGAAUCAUGCACCUGCAUGAAUGAAGUCAACUUGUGGUGGGGACUUGAGUAAGCUCUCAUGGGUCCCUGGAAAAGGAAGUAGAUGCUAGUUUGCCAGGGAGAAUGGAGAAGGGAUGUACAGAAAAUUUAGCCAGGAUGUCACACCCGACCUUUGUGGAGCCCGCCUCUUGUUCUUAUCUUGUUCUCAUAAUGCAUCACAUCGUGAGAGUCUCCUUCUUUCAUGGAUGUAGUCACCUAAUUUGCAAGUAAUAUCAGAGACAGGGUGGGGCUCUGUGCCCCAGGACUGGCAACCAGAGGUGAUCAAGCAGACGGACCCUGCUCUGUGGGCUUACUGGAAAGCUCAACCAACUCUGUGUUUUGAGAAGUUCCAUUUUGUGUGAAGGGGCUAAACUCUAAUUCUAGGAAGAAAACCAUAAAAUCCACUUGAGCAAACAUCCUAUGGCAACCCACCCUUAGCAACAGCCAGUCAGGCUACAACAGCAGAGUCAAGGUAUAUACAGAUAACCUAAGACAUGCUACAGAAAAUAGAUAACCUAGCCAUCCUGUUUGUCAGAUGGUUUUGCCGCUAUGUUUAGUUCUUGCAGAUUACACCAGAAAUGCAGGGGUUUUUUUUGUUGUUGUUGGUGGUGGUGGUGGUGGUGUUUUUGGUUUUGGUUUUUUGAGGCAGGGUUUCUCUGUAUAGCCCUGGCUGUCCUGUAACUAACUCUGUAGACCAGGCUGGCCUUGAACUCAGAAAUCCACCUGCCUCUGCCUCCCAAGUGCUGGGAUUAAAGGCAUGUGCCACCACUGCCCAGCCUAGAAAUGCAGUUUUGAUAUAUUAACUUGCUGAUCCAUAUGGAAAUUCCCUAAGCUUGAUGUAGCUACAAUAAAUAACCUGCACUCCAGACUCGAGGCUCUCACUUCUGAUCUGCUGUGAUAGUGACUGUGAGUCCUUGCUCACGAGCUUGCAAUAAAGACCCUUAUGUGUUUGCAUUGGAAUUGGCUCCACUGUAGUCUUUGGGGGGUGGGGAUCCCUGUGAGUUGGGUAUAACAUCUUGGUGUAGUGGCCAGGAACCCAAGAUCCCCAGGACUCCUAACUGAAGGGUCGGAAGGCCGACUGGUGAGGAGACAUCUCAUUGUUGAUCUUUGUGUCAGUGCCUUGUCUGUCGAUUUGUGUCUGUAUGCCUCGGCUGUCCAGUUUUUCUUGAUUAUUCAUGGUAGGAGACUACUAAAGAGGAUGUGGAACCCCGAUAUAAUGGACAUACUGGAAGGUUGUAGCCACGGGGGCUUGGAUGACAGUCCAGAGCCUGGCAUAGGGGACGGAGUACCCCUGGUGUUAAUUUCUGGGAUGGACAGAGCAAAAACAUGGAGCCCUGCUACAUAGCUCAUGGCCACCCAUCAUCCACUCUUCAUUUUCUCCUCCAAGCAGAGGGAUCUGCUGGUCAGACUUUACAACCCCCAGUGGCUUUUGAGUGUGGCAUUUUACUAUUCUGUGACUGAGACAGACGAAAUGAGAAAGACUGUUUCCACCUCAAUCGACUUGGUCUUCGGGCAUUUUAAGGAGGACAAGGUCCAUGGACACAAUUUGUCAAUGAAGGUUAGAAAAGGGAAGAUGAGUGGCUGGAGAGAUGGCUAGGUGGUUAAGAGCACUGACUGCUCUUUCAAAGGUCCUGAGUUCAAUUCCCAGCAACUACAUGGUAGCUCACAGCCAUCUGUAAUGGGAUUUGGUGCCCUCUUCUGGUGUGUCUAAAGAUAGCUACAGUGCACCCAUAUAAAUAAAAUAAAUACAUUUUUUAGAAAGAGAGAGAAAGAGAGAAAGAAAGAAAGAAAGAAAGGAAGAAAGAAAGAAAGGAAGAAAGAAAGGAAGGAAGGAAGGAAGG